rnacentral:misc_RNA from 1 species
GUGCGGCCGUCGAUCAUGCCUGUCCCGGCGCAGCGGCGACAAA